AUGGAGCUCCGGCAAGAGUUCAAGGAGGAGGCGGCGACCGUGCCUCUCCUUGAGCAGCAGCUACCACCUGCGCACAAGGCCGUCUUCUCCGAUCCAACUCGUCCUACUAGAGAUGUUUCGAUCCAAGGCAGAGGAGGCAGGGAGAUUGGGGCACCUAUCUGUGCUUCCCUGGGAGCCAUGAGACCCCUUGCCCGUAAGCUGGACAUGCUGCUGUUAGCUCCUCCUAAUGGAUGCUCCAGCUCCACCAGGGUCAAGGACGGAAUGCGCCUCCUCAAAGAUAAUGUUGACAAGAUGAGCUCCUACCUUGAUAAACUGUCAGAGGUGGAGGACCCUCCCCCGGCGGCAAAUUGCUGGAUGAAUGAGGCGCGUGACCUGUCUUACGACAUGGAGGAUUACAUGGACAGCUUAAUAUUUGAUAGGCCUGAAGAUGCCUCCAUUGUCCCCAACAACAUCAAGACAACCAGAUCCCGCUUCAAAUUCUUUGGUCAUGCCAAGACUCCCAAGACUAAGACUAAGGUUGAUGUCAUUGUGGAAACACUGUAUGAGUUGAGGAAGUAUGUCCAAGAGGCAAUUGAACGGCACCACGUGUACAAUCUCCAUUCUUGCAGCACCUUGAGGCAUAGGUUUGUGUCCCUUGGUCCUAUGCUUCCAGCUCCAAUGCAGUACCAAGACAUAGUAAUUGAUGGGCGGAUGAACGGAUUCAUCAACUCACUGGCUAAUGAUGGCGAUCAGCAGCUCAAGGUGCUAUCUGUUCUCGGACAUUCAUGUCUCGGUAAAACUACGCUUGCCAGAGUGCUGUACAAAAGACUUGGGAAGCAAUACCAUUGUCGCGCUUUCAUUCGGGUGUCCAAGAAGCCUGAUACGAAGAGAAUUUUCCGUGACAUGCUAGCACAACUCCAGCAUCAGCACUCCCUGCAAGACUGUAAGGAGGCUGACCUCAUUGACAAUAUCAAGAAAUAUCUACAAGAUAAAAGGUAUCUAAUUAUUAUUGACGAUUUAUGGGCAACAUCAGUAUGGGAUAUUAUUAAUCAUGCUUUCCCAAAGGGCAGUCAAGGCAGCAGAAUAGUAACAAUUACACAGAUCGAAGACAUUGCAUUAACAUGUUGCUCUUACCAGUCAGAACAUGUUUUUCAGAUGGAACCUCUGGAUGAUGAUCACUCAAGAAAGCUGUUCUUUAACACACUCUUUGGCUCUGAAAAUGAUUGCCCUGAAGAACUGAAAGAAGUUUCAAACAAAAUCGUUGAAAUAUGCGAUGGUUUGCCGCUAGCCACAAUUAGCAUAGCUAGUCUUUUAGCAAGCCAGCCUGUAAUAUCUACUGAUAUAUUGACGUAUAUCCAUCAGUCAUUAAGCUCAUGUUUCUCAGCAAAUUCUAUUUCAGAAAGAACGAGACAAGUAUUGAGUCUGAGCUACAAUAACCUUCCUCAUUAUUUGAAGACAUGCCUACUCUAUCUUAGCAUGUAUCAAGAGGGCCACACAUUCUGCAAGGAUGAUUUGCUCAAGCAAUGGGUGGCUGAAGGUUUAAUCGAUACAACAGAAGGGCAAGACAUCAAGGAAGUUGCAGAAAGCUAUCUUGGUCAACUUAUUGGUAGAAGAUUUAUCCAGCCGAUAUGUAUCAACUACAACAAUGAGGUGUUGUCUUGUGAAGUCCAUGACGUGGUAUAUGAUCUUAUUGCAAACAAGUCUGCAGAAGAGAAUUUCAUUGUGGCAAUAGACUACAGUUGUCGAAAGAAUGUGGCACUUUAUCAAAAGGUCCGUCGACUGUCUCUCCAACUCGGUGGUGUAAAAUAUGCUAAGAUACCAUCAAACAUCAGUAAGGCACAAGUACGGUCACUUGGAUUUUUUGGAUUAUUGGGGUGUAUGCCUUGCAUUGGAGAGUUCAAGCUUCUUCGUGUUCUAAACCUUCAACUCUCCGGUCAUCGUCAUGGCGACCAAGACCCGGCCAUAGAACUCAGUAGGAUAUCAGAGUUGUUCCAUCUGAGAUAUCUGAAGAUUAUAUGUGAUGUCUGCAUAAAACUACCAAACCGUUUGAGAGGGCUGCAAUGUUUGGAAACACUGGAUGUUAUGGAUACAAGGGGCCUUUAUGUUCCAUGGGAUGUUACAUAUCUCCCACACUUGUGGCACCUCAGUCUUCCCGUUGACACAAAUCUUCUGGAUUGGUCCAUCAAUCUCGGGAGCCUUGGCAUGCCGAACUACCUUCAGGAUCUUUAUAUUUCUACACCGCCUUCUUCCGACCAUCUGGAGGGAAGUAUGGAAGAUGCGGAGCGAAUCCUGGAAGCUCUGUCUUCUUUGAUCGGAGGACAUAGCAACCUGAAAACUAUGGUAGUGGCUCACAAAUCCUCGGUUAGGUAUGGCCGCGCUUCGAAAGCAAUCAUUUACUGGAAUAACAUGGCACCUCUCCCCAGUCUCCGGAGAUUUGAAUGCUCGCCACACAACGGCAUCAUAUUUCACAGAAUCCCAAGGUGGAUGGAACAACUUGGCAACCUAUGCAUUCUAAAGAUUGCAGUGAGUGAACUGCUGAUAUAUGAUGUUGGUAUCCUUGGAGGUUUGCCCGCCCUCACUGCUCUGUCGUUGUAUGUCGAGACAUCACCCGAUGACAAGAUCAUCUUUGGCAAGGCGGGGUUCUUAGUUCUAAAAUACUUCAAGUUGAGGUUCACAAGUGGUAUAGCUUGGCUAAAAUUUGAGGCAGAUGCAAUGCGUAAUCUUUUGAAGCUCAAGCUAAUUUUCAACGCCAUCCCGCAAAUGGAGCAAUAUGAAAAUGGUAUUAUCAGCAUCGAGCAUAUGCCAAGCCUUCGAAAAAUCUCUGUAAAAUUUUGGGGUGGAGCUGCUGGUCAAGAAUAUGGCUUGGUCAAUAAUCAUCAAUGCAAUCCUAGAAUCAACGAGCAAUCAUCGGUUUAUAGUUCCAAUGGCGAUGAAAGUAGAAAACAGAAACAACAACCAUAUGAGAUUCUGGAGGAAGAACGUGAUGAAUACGAUAAGAAAGUGAAGAGUCCAGCUGAUCAAAGGAAUUCAGGUUUAAUGGAGUCCUCUUUGCGACCUCAUGUUCCAGGGAAGUCUCACAUCAGUUCACUAAUGACAGCUCCUAAUACUUACACAGUCCAUGUCUCCAAGGAGACCCACAAGAUUGAGGCCUGGUGUGAAUCAGAUGAAUCUUCGGCUAGGCAAUUGCUAGAAGAGGAGGAUUCACUGCUAGUUACCGCUUCAAAGGAUUUUGCUGGUAGCGUAUUCUUGGAACCAUCAUCACUGGUUGUUGAGUAUCGACCACCUGCCAAUAAUGUAGCUCAGGUGGCAACAGAAGAUAUUGUCGACCCAGAUAAUAUGUCAUAUGAGCAACUGCAAGCAAAGGAUCAAGCAGUAGGAACUCAAUCCAGAGGAUUAUCUGAUGAGCUGACAUGCUACCUGGUGCCUUUUAGGAACAAUUGUAACUUCUUCUCCAGCAAAAAGAACAACGAGGAAUGUGCGAUCUGUAAAUCAAACUUUAAAAGCCAACAGAAGUUGAUACGAUUGCCGUGCAGCCAUUCUUACCAUGCAGAUUGCAUAACUCGAUGGCUUAAGAUUAACAAGUCAUGCCCAGUGUGCAAUGAGGAGGUAUUCGGUUAA
rnacentral:rRNA from 1 species